GAGUUUGAUCAUGGCUCAGAACGAACGUUGGCGGCGUGGAUUAGGCAUGCAAGUCGUGCGUGAACGGGGCUUCGGCUCCUAGUAAAGCGGCGAACGGGUGAGUAACGCGUGGGAAACCUGCCCUGAGGUGAGGGAUAACACUCCCCAACGGAGUGCUAAUACCGCAUGAUAUCCCUUGGUCGCAUGGCCGAGGGAUCAAAGGUGGCCUCUACUUGUAAGCUAUCACCUUGGGAUGGUCCCGCGUCCGAUUAGCUAGUUGGUGAGGUAACGGCUCACCAAGGCGACGAUCGGUAGCUGGUCUGAGAGGAUGGUCAGCCACACUGGGACUGAGAUACGGCCCAGACUCCUACGGGAGGCAGCAGUCGAGAGGCUUCGGCAAUGGGGGAAACCCUGACCGAGCGACGCCGCGUGAGGGAUUAAGCCCUUCGGGGUGUAAACCUCUUUUCUGGGGGAAGAAACUUGCGACGGUGAAUAAUCGUCGUGACUGACGGUACUCCAGGAAUAAGCUCCGGCCAACUCCGUGCCAGCAGCCGCGGUAAUACGGGGGGAGCAAACGUUGUUCGGAAUCACUGGGCGUAAAGGGCGCGUAGGCGGCCUCGUAAGUGGUGUGUGAAAUCUCCUGGCUCAACCAGGGAAUUGCGCUCCAAACUGC
rnacentral:rRNA from 1 species